rnacentral:tRNA from 1 species
GGGCGCUUGGCACAGGGGUAGCGCGCACGCUUCGCAUAAGAAUUUGCGUGAGGUCGUGGGUUCAAAUCCCACAGUGUCCA